rnacentral:rRNA from 1 species
AGCGAACGCUGGCGGCAGGCCUAACACAUGCAAGUCGAACGAAGUCUUCGGACUUAGUGGCGGUCGGGUGAGUAACACGUGGGAACGUACCUUUUGGUUCGGAACAACUCAGGGAAACUUGAGCUAAUACCGGAUGAGCCCUUAGGGGGAAAGAUUUAUCGCCGAAAGAGCGGCCCGCGUUAGAUUAGCUAGUUGGUGAGGUAAAGGCUCACCAAGGCUACGAUCUAUAGCUGGUCUGAGAGGAUGAUCAGCCACACUGGGACUGAGACACGGCCCAGACUCCUACGGGGGGCAGCAGUGGGGAAUCUUGCGCAAUGGGCGAAAGCCUGACGCAGCCAUGCCGCGUGAAUGAUGAAGGUCUUAGGAUUGUAAAAUUCUUUUACCAGGGACGAUAAUGACGGUACCUGGAGAAAAAGCCCCGGCUAACUUCGUGCCAGCAGCCGCCGUAAAAC